rnacentral:rRNA from 1 species
UAAUACGGAGGGUGCAAGCGUUAUCCGGAUUCACUGGGUUUAAAGGGUGCGUAGGCGGACCUGUAAGUCAGUGGUGAAAUCUCUAGGCUUAACCUAGAAACUGCCGUUGAUACUAUAGGUCUUGAAUGUUGUGGAGGUUAGCGGAAUAUGUCAUGUAGCGGUGAAAUGCAUAGAUAUGACAUAGAACACCAAUUGCGAAGGCAGCUGGCUACACAAAUAUUGACGCUGAGGCACGAAAGCGUGGGGAUCAAACAGGAUUAGAUACCCUGGUAGUCCACGCCCUAAACGAUGGAUACUCGACAUUUGCGAUAUACAGUAAGUGUCUGAGCGAAAGCAUUAAGUAUCCCACCUGGGAAGUACGACCGCAAGGUUG